AAAAUUGUAAACAAUAAAAAAAGCACAAAAAAAAAAGUGACAGUCUAUCUCUCCUUCGUCGUCGUCGUCUCUCUCAGUGAAAAGAAAGAGAAAGAGAGAGGAGAAAGAGAGUGACGUACGGCAAUGGCCUUGCAGAGAGUAUAAUGCACCUCUUAUUAUUUACCAGUAGGGGACCAGCAGCUAAUUCAUCUCUGUUCAGUUAUCUUUAUCUUAUCAUCAUUUUCCAUUAAAUGUGCUUGGUAGGUCCACAAUGUUAAUUAUAUCAAAUCCUCUUAGUUGCAGGACAUUUUUUUUUCUUGCUUGAAACUUUGCGGCUACUACCUCUUUGCUAAUUAUCAUCAUGUUUGUGAAGUUUGGCAUUUGGCAUUUGGCAUUUGGCAAUGGUAAUGAAUUUUACAUCUUGAAUAUGCACAAUAUGGUUUCUGGGUUACCAAAUGUUUUGCGUAAUGAUGGUAGGAAAGUUCUUAUUCUGAUUCAGAGUUAAUGAUUCUUAGCUCGAGCUAGAUUUGUGGUGUGAUAUUGUUUAGUGAGGAUUUAACAAAUUCUAGAGAUUUUAUAUGAUGAAUGGGGUCUUUGUGAGAUUGUGUCUUGCCUUUUGUUUUUAUUUUUCUUGAUGAUUUUGAUGACAGUUAUAUGGAUGCUAAUGUUUCCGCAAAUCUUAUUGACCAGAUGUUGUGCUUAGGGAUUUAGUUCUCUUAAUGUAAAUUAGAAGUGACACCAAUCUACAUAUACUUUGCUAAGGAAGAAAGAGAGAUGUUGGUGAAACUUUUCAACUAUCAUAUGUUAAUAGAAAAAAAAAAAAAAAGAGAAAACCCAAAUGCUUCAAGUUUCGAAUUGAUUUGCUUUAUGUUGCAGCCAGCCAAAGUGCCAAAGUUCGAAAGUUCCUGAAUUGCUGUCAUGUCUGUUAACUUUUGACCCUUAUUUUGUUUUCUUAUAAUUUGUGCAUUGGUUUUGGUAUGUCAGUUUUUCUGAAAUCCCAUUGUAUUGUUUUUCUCCAUUUGCUUAGUGAUCCUUUUGACAAUUGAUUCAUUUUGUUUGAAGUAAUUAUUUGGGAGGCGUUUCUGGCUAGAGAUUUUCAUCUGCUUUAGCAUUUGGUAAAGUUGAAUUCAGUGCUACCCUCCUGUUUGACUGGAAAGUAUAUGAGUCUCAUUUUAACUACUUCUUUUACUGUGAGUGGAAUUGCUUUUGUACAAUUGUUUUUUGAGUAAAAAUGCAGCACAUGAAAGUGCUUUCUACCUAUUAAUUGCUUCCCAAAAAAGUACUUCUAUGCUGUAAAGAGCAAUGUCUCUCAGAACAGUAGUAUCUAAUGCCUCACCAGAAAAAGCACUUUAUUUCUUUUUAUACCCAAACACAUUUUUCAAAAGUUCUUUUUACCCAUUUCAUGGCAAUUCAAUGUUGCCAAAACCAUUUCAAAUACAUGUAAAUUAUUCAUAAACCUCAAAUGAUUGAUUGCAUCAACAUGAGUAUGCAAGCAAUUCCAUUAACUCUGGUUGUUAGUAAUUGAAAACAGAGAAAAAAUGAGAGCUGGGAUUCUUCCCAUUUUGUUUUUUCUCAUCUUUUUUUUUUAAAUUGUUAUUUUGUUUUGGGCAUUUUUACACAUAGGCAUGGAUGAUGGAGAAAUAAAUUCUCUGCCGUUACCAAGUCAAUUCUUUGAAGAAGGAGCUGGUCAAAAGUGGUGUGUGUAAGUUGUAAUUCUGUAUGGGAAUAGAAAAACAAUUUAAUAAAGUUGAAGUUUGGAAAAAUAGUUUCCAAGUGGGAGACAUGCCCAUGUCAUUGCUUCAUCAAAGUAAGGGCAAAAGCAACAGUUACAGAGUAAGUUACAAUGGUUGAUUUUGUACUGGUAGUGGGAAUCUGGUAUCAAAUUCCUAGUACCAAUAUUUUAGAAUCAAAUCAAAUCAAUUUGGAAAUGAUUCCAAAGUCUUGAAUAGAAACAUUUCAAGUGUUUCGCUCCAAAAGAAAUGGACAGAAUCCCAGGUUGAGCUAAGCUAAGUUAAAGGAUA